rnacentral:rRNA from 1 species
CCAAUAGCGUAUAUUAAAGUUGUUGCAGUUAAAAAGCUCGUAGUUGAAUUUCGGGAUUGACACAUCGGUCGUGCCCUAAGGGGUAUGAACUGGUGUAGUCAAUUUCUCACCUUCUGGAGAACCGCGAUGCCCUUAAUUGGGUGUCACGGGGAACCAGGACCUUUACUUUGAAAAAAUUAGAGUGUUUAAAGCAGGCAUUUUGCUUGAAUACAUUAGCAUGGAAUAAUAAAAUAGGACGGCAUGAUUCUAUUUUGUUGGUUUCUAGGAUCACCGUAAUGAUUAAUAGGGAUAGUUGGGGGCAUUAGUAUUAAAUUGUCAGAGGUGAAAUUCUUGGAUUUAUUGAAGACUAACUACUGCGAAAGCAUUUGCCAAGGAUGUUUUCAUUAAUCAAGAACGAAAGUUAGGGGAUCGAAGACGAUCAGAUACCGUCGUAGUCUUAACCAUAAACUAUGCCGACUAGGAAUCAGACGAUGUUAAUUUUUUAAUGACUCGUUUGGCACCUUACG